AACGAACGCUGGCGGCGUGCUUAACACAUGCAAGUCGAACGGGUUUAUUGGAUGUAGCAAUACAUUCAAUAGAUUAGUGGCGCACGGGUGAGUAACACGUAGGCAACCUACCCUUCAGUGGGGGACAACAGAGGGAAACUUCUGCUAAUACCGCAUACGGCCUUGUACUGGGAUGUACGAGGAGAAAGGAUUUAUUCGCUGAGGGAUGGGCCUGCGGCCUAUCAGGUAGUUGGUGGGGUAAAGGCCUACCAAGCCUGCGACGGGUAGCCGGACUGAGAGGUCGACCGGCCACACUGGAACUGAGACACGGUCCAGACUCCUACGGGAGGCAGCAGUAGGGAAUAUUGCGCAAUGCCCGCAAGGGUGACGCAGCGACGCCGCGUGGGCGAUGAAGCUUCUUGGAGUGUAAAG
rnacentral:rRNA from 1 species